rnacentral:lncRNA from 1 species
GUUUGAUUUAGACAAUAUUGAAGACAAAUAUGUAAAGCUCAACUUCAGGUUUCAAAGAGAAGAUCUUAUAAGAUUGGCAGUGGCAUUGGGAAUUCCUGAACAAAUAAAGACAAGGUCUAGACAUUCAUCUGGAGGACUCGAAGGACUAUGUAUUUUACUAAGAAGAUUAUCAUAUCUAAGUAGGCUUUGCGAUUUGGAACCACUUUUCCGAAGGUCCGCUACAUCAAUAUCUGAAAUUAGUAAUUAUGUUAAUAACCAUAUUUACAGGAAUCAUGGUUAUCUGUUAAGAGAUUUGGGAAACUUGCCAUGGUUAAACAGGGAAAAACUAAGUGCCUAUUCUAAUUCAAUUGCAGCAAAGGGAGCUGCAGUACAAAAUUGUUGGGGAUUUAUUGAUGGCACAGCUAGGCCAAUAUGUAGGCCAACAGAGUUACAAGAAGAAUAUUAUUCUGGAUACAAACGAGUCCA